rnacentral:lncRNA from 1 species
GAACAAUGGAAACUCCCGAGAAAUUAAAAUUGUCAUUACUUUUCACUCGGAUGUCCGAUUCAGGCACAUCAGAUAUCGAGACGCUCGAAAUUGAACAACGGAAGCUCUCGAGAAAUUCAAAUGGUCGUAACUUUUCGCACGGAGGUCCGAUUCAGGCACAUCACAUAUGGUGACGCUCGAAAUUGCACAACUAAAGAUAUCGAGAAAUUAAAAUGGUCAUAACUUUCCAC